rnacentral:rRNA from 1 species
CACGGGGGGAGCAAGCGUUGUUCGGAAUCACUGGGCGUAAAGGGCGUGUAGGCGGUUGAGUGAGUGGAAUGUGAAAUGCCCAGGCUCACCCUGGGACCUGCAUUCCAUACUGCUCAGCUCGAGUAUGGGAGAGGAUGAGGGAAUUCCUGGUGUAGCGGUGAAAUGCGUAGAUAUCAGGAGGAACACCGGUGGCGAAAGCGCUCAUCUGGCCCAAUACUGACGCUGAGGCGCGAAAGCUAGGGGAGCAAACGGG